rnacentral:rRNA from 1 species
AUUGAACGCUGGCGGCAUGCUUUACACAUGCCAGUCGAACGGCAGCGCGGGCUUCGGCCUGGCGGCGAGUGGCGAACGGGUGAGUAAUGCAUCGGAACGUGCCCAGUAGUGGGGGAUAGCCCGGCGAAAGCCGGAUUAAUACCGCAUACGACCUGAGGGUGAAAGCGGGGGACCGAAAGGCCUCGCGCUAUUGGAGCGGCCGAUGUCGGAUUAGCUAGUUGGUGGGGUAAAGGCUUACCAAGGCGACGAUCCGUAGCUGGUCUGAGAGGACGACCAGCCACACUGGGACUGAGACACGGCCCAGACUCCUACGGGAGGCAGCAGUGGGGAAUUUUGGACAAUGGGGGCAACCCUGAUCCAGCCAUGCCGCGUGCGGGAAGAAGGCCUUCGGGUUGUAAACCGCUUUUGUUCGGGAAGAAAUCCUGUGGGCUAAUACCCCGGGGGGAUGACGGUACCGGAAGAAUAAGCACCGGCUAACUACGUG